UCGACGAUGAAUCUUCUAGCUUGCUAGAAGUGGAUUAGUGGCGCACGGGUGAGUAAUGCAUAGGUUAUGUGCCCUUUAGUCUGGGAUAGCCACUGGAAACGGUGAUUAAUACUGGAUACUCCCUACGGGGGAAAGUUUUUCGCUAAAGGAUCAGCCUAUGUCCUAUCAGCUUGUUGGUGAGGUAAUGGCUCACCAAGGCUAUGACGGGUAUCCGGCCUGAGAGGGUGAUCGGACACACUGGAACUGAGACACGGUCCAGACUCCUACGGGAGGCAGCAGUAGGGAAUAUUGCUCAAUGGGGGAAACCCUGAAGCAGCAACGCCGCGUGGAGGAUGAAGGUUUUAGGAUUGUAAACUCCUUUUGUUAGAGAAGAUUAUGACGGUAUCUAACGAAUAAGCACCGGCUAACUCCGUGCCAGCAGCCGCGGUAAUACGGAGGGUGCAAGCGUUACUCGGAAUCACUGGGCGUAAAGAGUGCGUAGGCGGGGUAAUAAGUCAGAUGUGAAAUCCUGUAGCUUAACUACAGAACUGCAUUUGAAACUGUUACUCUGGAGUGUGGGAGAGGUAGGUGGAAUUCUUGGUGUAGGGGUAAAAUCCGUAGAGAUCAAGAGGAAUACUCAUUGCGAAGGCGACCUGCUGGAACAUUACUGACGCUGAUGCACGAAAGCGUGGGGAGCAAACAGGAUUAGAUACCCUGGUAGUCCACGCCCUAAACGAUGGAUGCUAGUUGUUGCCUUGCUUGUCAGGGCAGUAAUGCAGCUAACGCAUUAAGCAUCCCGCCUGGGGAGUACGGUCGCAAGAUUAAAACUCAAAGGAAUAGACGGGGACCCGCACAAGCGGUGGAGCAUGUGGUUUAAUUCGAAGAUACGCGAAGAACCUUACCUAGGCUUGACAUUGAUA
rnacentral:rRNA from 1 species